rnacentral:rRNA from 1 species
GACGAACCGUGCGAACGUUGUUCGGAAUCACUGGGCUUAAAGGGCGCGUAGGCGGGCUGUCAAGUCUGGGGUGAAAUGCCGCGGCUCAACCGUGGAACUGCCUUAGAUACUGACGGCCUCGAGGAAGGUAGGGGCAUGCGGAACUGUAGGUGGAGCGGUGAAAUGCGUUGAUAUCUACAGGAACUCCGGUGGCGAAAACGGCGUGCUGGACCUUUUCUGACGCUGAGGCGCGAAAGCUAGGGGAGCAAACGGG